rnacentral:rRNA from 1 species
GACGAACGCUGGCGGCGUGCUUAACACAUGCAAGUCGAACGGAAAGGCCCUGCUUUUGUGGGGUGCUCGAGUGGCGAACAGGUGAGUAACACGUGAGUAACCUGCCCUUGACUUUGGGAUAACUUCAGGAAACUGGGGCUAAUACCGGAUAGGAGCUCCUGCUGCAUGGUGGGGGUGGGAAAGUUUCGGCGGUUGGGGAUGGACUCGCGGCUUAUCCGCUCGUUGGUGGGGUAGGGGAUUAGCAAGGCUUUGACGGGUCGCCGGCCUGAGAGGGUGACCGGUCACAUUCGGACUGAGAUACGGCCCAGACGUCUGCGGGAUGCAGCAGUGGGGAAUAGUGCACAGUGGCCGGAACCCGUGUGCAACAACGCCGCGCGGGUGAUAACGUCCUUUGGGUUGGAAACCGGUUUCGCCUGUUACGAAGCGUGAGUGACUGUAAUGGUUAAGGAAGAACCGCCUACUUCCUU